GUGCCGAUGCCAAAAUCAACACGCUGGCUUCGUGCGUUUCUUCUGUGGGGAUUUCACAGGGGGGAAACGUAAGACCCGCUACCCUUCCCCCCGCCCCCCAAAUCAGUUGUUUUCCUUUAAAAAAUUCAUGCGAUCCAGCUGCCCUCAUCAGGGCUGGACGAAGCCUGUUGUGCUGCACAUCUGAGGACCUUAAGUUGAAGCUUGGCUUCUUUCCUGUCAUUGUAGCAGACAGGCCACAGGCCUCCUGGGGGACCGAGGGUCAGUUCUGAUGACAGCAAAAAUCAGCUUGAUGCACUUGGAGCUCUCCCAACACAGUGCAUGUCCGCAGGACAAAGAGAAUUAGACUCAUCUGCAAGUGUCAGCUCUCUGGCUUUUUUAGUUAUUUUUUUCCUUUUAAAGGUGUUGUGCUCUCUUAGUUUGAGAAGUCGUGUCAUCCGGGGAGCACUGGGGUUGGCUCAUUAAAAUAUCACCUGGUUAAAGUAAAUCAAUGUUGAUGGAAUUGUUUAAGGUAUUCCCCGUUGUGGAGCCGGUGUGUCAUGCUGAUCAACUUGUUACUCCCAUCACAGGCUAAAUGCAAACCCCUCCUUUCUGGCUCUGUACCCCAUUCCUGCUUUAAUGAGCAAGUCUCGCAAUGUGAACCGGAGCCUGAGUUGCUGGGUGGUGACUAAUACAUUUCGUUUCCUUUUAUCAGUAGCAGUAGCAGAAAGAAUUAGGGAGGGUGCUAUUUUGCUCUUUGGGCCUUCCAGGAAUUAAAGAGUGUGGGCAUCCAGAAAAUGCAUAUGGAACAGGUGAUUUGUACUUUUAAACUGUGCACGCACAUCAAUCAAGCAACAAGAGGUAUUUUUGACACGUAAAAAAAAAUUGCUGUAACUUGUAAAAAGCCUUCUGUUGUUGCUUUUAUGUGUUUCAAAUCAUCAAAGAAAAAAGUUUGGGGUGGCAAAUCUGCCAAGCUUUGGGUAGGAAAGAUUCAAGGCAUAGGAAGACUUGAUCAAGUUGGGAAGAUGCACAGUUGAUCAAAUAAAGCAACUAUUUGAUUGCUAAGCUCUCUUUUCCCCUGAUUGGAAGGAUAUAGCACACCUGGGUACAAAAACUGCAAAAUGAUCUUAUCUCUGUCAUUCUAGCAAGAUCAAGAGAUGUAAGGAUCAAGAAAUUAGGCUAGGAUGCGUGAGAUCUUCCCUGAGAUGACCAGGACAGUGCCUUCCAGAAGAAAAGCUGCUCAUUGGUGAGGGCCACGUCUCCCAGGAACCAGCCUGACCACCAGGGACUCGACUUAUACAGCAAGACAAGAACAUCAAUGACCGCAAGGACUCGGGGUGUUACAGAUAUGAAAUCUGCCAGCAGCAAUGGCUGGGUUGAAAGCCAAGGUCUUUUCAGUCCCUAAAAGCAUGAACGGUAAUAGCAAGUAAGGUUUCCUGGAGGUAGAAAGAAAAUGCCUGGUGUGGUUAUCAGCCUACAUUUAGAGACCGCUUACUGUACUCCAAGCUUGUUCUCAGCACUUUGCAUGCCUUAUCCCAUUUAAUCCACACAACAAACCUAUGAGGUGUUUACGAGUUUCGCCCUACUUUACAGGUGAGGGAUCUGAGGGACAGAGAGGUUAAGGAACCUGCCUGAGGUCACAUAGGAUAUACUGAUUCUGAGAAAUAAUUGGAGAGUUGAGUUGAAGAGGGAGUAUCAGUUAUAUCCAACGGUUUGUAUUUUUUUUAAUGGAUUUUGUUUUACUUUGUCUUUAUUGUGUUUGAAAAUUAGCUUCAGUUGCUCAACCUGACUCUCACAGUAUAUAGUAGCAUUGAGACUUCCAAUGUCAGGCUCUUUUGGGAAGCUGACCCCAACUCCUCAUCCACUCCAGGAUGCAUGAGUCUUUCCUCUGUGAGAGCAGAAACAGGACAGAUCUUAGAUUUGGGCAGAGCAUAUCCAUCCUGAACACACUCAGGGACAAAAGUCAGCCCAGUUCAGAAAUGAGGGCAAUGGAGAGGGGAGCUCCGCAUGCCUGUGUUAUAUUCUCUUCCCGACCCCUCUCCCCCCUGAGAAGGAAAGCUCAGCUUCAGGAGGGAGUUAGAAAAGAGAGAAGAAUGGCAAACUGAAGGAGACGCUUGUUUGUAGAAAGAGGAGGACGGUUUCCAUAUUGGACUUGCACCCAUGUGGCCUAAUGCUCCGGCUGACCACUGGACUGAAGGCUUGAGUGUGUGAAAAUAACACCAGGACUCUUGAGAGCGUUGAAUCUGGGAGUUUGGAAGGACCUCAAUAUAUGACCUGCUUGAAGUACCUGAUUUCUGGCCCAGGCAUGUUUAAACCAUCUAGAGUUAAUACAAUAUGGCUGGCUGAGUAAUUUCUCAAUCAGGAAACAGCACAUGGAUGUCAUAUCACGGGGUCCUGCAAUCCAAAAUGUCUUAUGUAUGGGCCAUAACACAGAGAGGCUUAAUCCAGCUCUUAAGAGGUUUAUUUUGGGCCAGAGAGGGAGUGGUCUCUUCACCAAGGGCUCCCUCUGACACUGAAAGCCAGAGGCCACCAAAAGGCAAUGUGAAUAAGAAUGUGAAUAACGUUGUCGUUGAUGACUGCAGAGGGUGGAAACAUCCACCAAAGCCCAGGGACUUCUUUGAUGCCCCAUGUAGUCAUGCCUGUCUAAUCCCUGAACUGCUAAACUAUCACAUUUAGUGAUUAGAUCUCUCCGAAAACCCACGUUGACUCCCAGGAGGUGGGGGAAGAAAGCGUUAUGUGCAUACAUAAGCGCAGAGGCUGUAUAAAUGUGUGCAUGCGUGCAUUUGUGCAUGCAAGUGGCGAGGAGCUGAGGGUCUGAGCAGUUUUCCGAGAUUCCCCAGAAUACGGAAGGCUUGUGGUGCAUAUGGGAGAACUGACAAGUAUACCAGAAGGUGAGGAAAUGGCUGGAAGCAACACUAAUGCCGCUCCAUCUGGAAAGAGGGGUACUGUUUAGUACGUCUGGAAAGCAUUAUUUCUGCAAAUAGCUCAACCUCUAUCAACUUUCAGGCAGGGAUCCCGAUCUGCUGCCAAAAUGAGAUCUCCCUGAUGGCUAUGUGGUGGGAGAGGCUGAGCAAAUGAACUAAUAGCAGAAAGCAGGAAAUCUGCGGAGAUGGCAGCCGUUAAGGUACCUCACAGCAAGCACCUGCCUCUCUCCAAAAAGACAGCCGGGGUUUCACAUCACAUUAGGCCAGGGCUAUGCUAGGGGAGGGCUGAACCUGGUGGGGUUUUGGGCUCGGCAGCCAUCUCCAACAAUUUCUCACAAUUUUUGGGCACAGAAAAGCCCCAAAUAUAGUUAGCCAAAUGGCUUUCCUGCAUUGAUUUUUAUACCCAUGGGUAUUUUGAAGGAAAUUAAAUCCAUGUGUUUCUGAUUCACUUGCCAUUAGCACAUGAAAACGCUGUUUUGCGAGAGUUAUGGUAUGCUGUGGGUGCCUUUGCACAGUGUUGCUAAAUGCCAUAAAACCGUCUAGCCAGACAGAGAGGUGCAAGGAGCGGGGUGCGUUCUGCUAUACGCCAUUUCCCUGCCUCUCCAGAAGGCAACAUGUUUUUGUCAUUUGCAUCCUUUCUGAAUGUAGCACAACAUGUUUCCUCAUGCCUGUUAAUCAUCGAUCAUUUCCAAUUUGAAUGAAGCCGUAUUAGUGUGGAUGAUGAGAAAUUGCCCUUAACCACUAAUAGCUGGAUGGGAUUCAUAUUAAAGCAGCCACCGAGCGAGACUGGUUACCGGCCUCCAGGUCUAGGGGCAAAGAGGCCAGCUGAAAUGCAUUCCCAGAAAGUCCCACACGGGCUCUUGUCCGCAACACUUAGAAGCAGAUACGUUGCCGUGGGAAUGAAUGGUCCUGCUUUCAGUCCGGGCUCUGCAAGGCUUCCGACCGGCCAGCACGCUGAUCCGGGUGCCGUGCCCUGGAGUCACCCCCUGCAUCCUGCUCUCCCUCCCCGUCUAAUACAAUAAUUUAUUUGGUGGGGUUCUUUUUUUCUCUACUGAGUUUCGUGGAGCCGGCAAAGAAACACAGGCAUGAACUAGCUCCCCAAACUCAGUCCUUAAUCUGUUUGUCUUAUUCACUUAUGGAGAAAAACAGAAAGAAAAGUGACUAAAACGUUGUGUGUUUUGACACCCAAGUACUCAUGGGAAGGUGUGAUGGGCUGAAUUGUGUCCCCUCAAAAUUUACGUGUUGCAGUCCUGGUCCCCAGUCCACCUCAGAAUGUGGCCUUAUUUGGAGCCAGGGUCUUUACAGAGGUAAUUAAGUUAAAGGAGGUCCUUAGAGUGGCCCUAAUCCAGAAUGACUGAUGUCUUUAUGAGAAGAGGAGAUUAGGACACAGACCGGCGCAGAGGAAGGACCAUAGGAGGACAUCGGAGAGGCUGGCCGUCUACAGGACGAGGAGCCAGCCCUUCCCCCAGGACCCUCAGAAGGAGCUGAUUCUGCUGACAUCUUGAUCUUGCACUUCUCACCUCCAGAACUGAGACAAUACGUUUCUGCUGUUUAAGCCACCCCGUCUACGAUUCUUUGUUAGGGCAACCCUCACAAACCCAUACAGAAGACCCUUGACAUGAUUUUGAAUGGAGUUAUGCUCUGUGGACCUGCAAAUUUAAUCCCCCAGUACUCACACCCCUGCCUUUGUCAUCCAAAUGGAAAGCUAAG